AAAGGAAAAACCCAAGUACAAAAAAAAAAAGGAGGAAAGUUGUGUCGCAGUCGAAGCUGUUGCCUCUGCCCCCGUGUCUUUCUGUCUUCCGAUACCCAGUUUCCGACGACACCCAUUUUCUGGUCAGUGGCAAUGGAUUUUUGUAGGAAAGGAAGGUGGGAGAUGAAUACUAGCGCCACCAGUUGAAUUGAGUUUUCAAUUUCCAAUUUGUGAGCUGCUAAAACUCCAAAGUCCAAACACAAAGGCAGAAAACUCCCCCC
rnacentral:misc_RNA from 1 species